UGUGAACGUGCGACUGCGUGGAGGUCUGUGAAGCACAUACGCCGUGCCGCUGCGGCUGUGAAAGAGCGAUGGCACCGACCGACGCACGGUGUGUUUCUGUUUGUUGGUUCUGGUGCUAGAAAACUCGGCAGCUGGCUCAUCCCGCCACUUGGCGCGCGCAGCACUAGCCUAGUCAUAACUGCCACCACCACGAACGAAGCCCCGGGACGAACCACACAGCUGUGGCCGUGCCGAGACACAGCCCACACCCGCUGCCUACAAAGUGAGUAUAAACUCGCCGCGCACCACCCGUUGCUCGCCGUCCCCGUCCCCUUCCUUCGACUUCGAGCGUCCUCUGCGACACUGCAGUGACUGCCUCCGUGUGCAGGUAGUGUCUGAGAGCGGGGAUGGCGACGCACUUCGUGCUCAACACCGGCGCUAAGAUCCCCUCCGUGGGGCUCGGCACCUGGCAGUCCGACCCCGGCGUCGUCGGCGAGGCCGUCUACGCCGCCGUCAAGGCCGGGUACCGCCACAUCGACUGCGCCAGGGCCUACAACAACGAGAAGGAGGUGGGUUUGGCACUGAAGAAGCUAUUUGAAGAGGGUGUAGUCAAGCGUGAGGAUCUGUUUAUCACCUCUAAGCUAUGGUGUGGUCAUCAUGCCCCAGAAGAUGUGCCUGAGGCACUUGGGGAUUCCCUCAAUGACUUGCAGCUUGACUACUUGGAUCUUUACCUUAUCCACUGGCCAUUUAAAAUCAAGAAGGGAACAAGCAUUGGCAACCCUGAAAACUUCUUACCACCUGACAUCCCAGCUACAUGGGGAGCAAUGGAGAAGUUGCAUGAUGCUGGCAAAGCUCGUGCAAUUGGUGUGAGUAAUUUCUCAUCGAAGAAAUUGGGUGACUUGCUUGCUGUAGCCCGCGUACCUCCGGCUGUUGACCAGGUGGAGUGCCAUCCUACUUGGCAGCAAUCUAAACUCCAUAGCUUCUGUCAGUCAACUGGUGUUCACCUCUCUGCGUACUCACCACUAGGUUCACCUGGCUCAACAUGGAUGAAUGGUAAUGUCCUCAAAGAACCCGUUGUCGUCUCAAUUGCAGAGAAGCUUGGCAAAACUCCAGCACAAGUGGCGUUGCGCUGGAACAUUCAGAUGGGUCACAGUGUGCUGCCAAAGAGCGUGAGUGAAGAACGGAUAAAGCAGAACCUUGCUGUUUAUGACUGGUCUAUUCCAGAAGACUUGCUUGCAAAGUUCUCUGAGAUUAAGCAGGCCAGGCUGCUCAUGGGCAACUUCAUCGUCAACAAAGACAGCGUUUACAAGACCCACGAUGAGCUCUGGGACGGCGAAAUCUAGGACAGCUCCGUAGUCCCGUCGUGGUUGGGAGCAGGGCGCCUUGUUAGUGCCAGUUACUUGUUAUGUAUCGUCGACUAUGCGCUUAAGAAAUGUAUGAUUCGGCAUCCCCGUGGGAGGCUGGGAACUCUUCGGUAGACUGUGCAUGGAUUUGCUCCCGUAGGUGAUGGAAUUUCUGCGAAAACCGCGUCGCGUGUUGCUAAUGGAGGCAUGAAUUUAUCAGCUUGUUCCUGUCACUGGGGUUACUUGUUCUGUACUGAUUUUUCGUUUGCUGGUGUAUUUUGUGUUCCUCCAACGAAGUUGCUUCACAUGAUAAUAAAAUUGGGGCCGUUUGUUAA
rnacentral:rRNA from 1 species